rnacentral:rRNA from 1 species
CGUGUAGGCGGUUCUUCAAGUCUGAUGUGAAAGCCCUGGGCUCAACCCAGGAAGUGCAUUGGAAACUGGCGAACUUGAGUACGGGAGAGGAAAGUGGAAUUUCGAGUGUAGGGGUGAAAUCCGUAGAUAUUCGAAGGAACACCAGUGGCGAAGGCGGCUUUCUGGACCGAUACUGACGCUGAGACGCGAAAGCGUGGGGAGCAAACAGGAUUAGAUACCCUGGUAGUCC